AGGCAAAGCGUAAUCAUCACUGACUGCAGAAGACAGUAAUGAAAUCCAGAGAUGUAUAACCUGAAUUGGAUCAUGGCGAAACAUCAUCCGAAGCCAAAUUAAUGGGCGUUUUACAAAAUCAGUUGCUUGGACUCUUCACAGGUGUCAAGCUCAUGAACGUCACUGAAAGACAGAGGAGCUGUUUCAUGUUGGAAGAUGCUAAGGAUCACUGUGGCUGCUGUGUGGAAAAUAGAUGGCAGAGAGGCAGGGGUGGAAGCAAGGACACCAGUUGGAAGACUAUGGAAAUAAUUCACUUUCUGGUGGAUAGCAGGGCUACAGAAACCUACAGAAAGGCUGUGAAGAACCACUGCCAGCCCACAGCACAGAGCACUGGGCUCUGCCCCAGCGGCAGUGAUGCCAUCUGACCACUUCUGCAUCCUAUGCCCGUCUUCCCCUGCCUCGCAAGAGGUGUCCGUCACAGAAGCUGCUCAUGGAAGGGCAGCUCUGAUCAUGACUUUCUAGGAAGGUUGAAGAGCCAGCUGCUUGCAUUGUUAAUCAAAUUUUUCUUUAUUUGGUGCAAUACUAAAGUGUCUUUUUAAAUGAGUGAUCAUAGAAUCAAAGACAAGCUCAGGGAGAAACAUUGAAACCGUCAGAUCUUGUCUUACUGCCUGGAGCUGCCUGGCGACUUCAGCGCUUUUGUCAUGUGCGAAGUUUGCCUUGUCAAGGUCCUCGAAUGAAAGGGUCUUGAGGUUUUGUCUGAUCCCACCCAACAACGAAGAAAAAAUUCGGGCAUUGACCUCUGAUUUUUGGACCCAGAGGGACCUUGGUGAAAAAUGAUUCCAGUCCCCUCUUUUCCUUGAUCCAUCAGAUGAGUGAUAAUUUAAAAUUUAGUUGGUUUUGUUUUGCUCCAAACGUAUCCUCAUGAAGCUCCAAUGAUGGAAAGAUGUGGACUUAAGUGCUCGGAAUUGUGUUCAAUUUUCUUCUUGGAACCUCCAGUAAGAGUCUUAAGGAUAUAUCUAAAAGACAAUUUCAUAUCUUUUCUAUGUUUGGACAAGAAUGAUGCUUUAAUCUAUUAUAUGAUUCUUUUCAAACAUAAAUAUAUGCUUAUGGUAUGCUAUGUAAAACACACAUUUUAAAAAUCCAAAAGCAGGCUUACACUUGAAGAGCAACGUUUAAAAUUGUUUCUUUCCUGACUUUAAUAAACGCAUAUCUAUUGUAAAGUGCA
rnacentral:lncRNA from 13 species